rnacentral:rRNA from 1 species
UACGAAGGGGACUAGCGUUGUUCGGAAUUACUGGGCGUAAAGGGCUCGUAGGCGGCCAACUAAGUCAGACGUGAAAUCCCUCGGCUUAACCGGGGAACUGCAUCUGAUACUGGAUGGCUUGAGAUUGGGAGAGGGAUGCGGAAUUCCAGGUGUAGCGGUGAAAUGCGUAGAUAUCUGGAGGAAUACCGGUGGCGAAGGCGGCAUCCUGGACCAUUACUGACGCUGAGGCGCGAAAGCUAGGGGAGCAAACGGG